GUUCAAAUCCUGUCUCCGCAUUUAUUUUUUGACUAUAUAGCAUAAAAGGUAAUGCGUCCGACUGCAACUCGGAGAAUGUUGGUUCGAUUCCAUCUUUAGUCUAAAUUGUUUUUGCAUAAAAGAAAAAAAAGCAUUAAGGGGAUGCCUAGGUGUUAAAUUAAAAUAUGAACGUUUAGUAAGACGAAAUGUCAGAAGUAAAUAAAGGAAAAUUUUUAAUCUCUGACAAUUCAUCCACAGAAAACUGUUACUCCAUGUGUUUCUAACGAAAAAAAGCAAAGGGAACUGAAACAUCUAAGUACCUUUUGAAAAAGAAAUCAACCGAGAGACCGUAAAUAGUGGCGAGCGAAAGCGGUUUAGGCUUAAAACAUGACCGUCUUUUUUUGAAUACCAAUGCCGUAGAGGGUAAUAGCCCCGUAAAAAAAAGAAAUCAAUGUUUUUUUAGUAUUACAUUAUCAAGCAAUCUUGUGUGAAAAAUGGGGUACCAUCCUCAAAGCCUAAAAAAUAUUUAACAACCGAUAGUGAACAAGUACCGUGAGGGAAAGGUGAAAAAGGAGGAUACUCCCAGUGAAAAGAACCUGAAACUUAAUGCUAUAAUCUGUUGGAGCUUUUAUAGUGACAGCGUGCCUUUUGCAUAAUGAGUCAGCGACUUUGUAUGGAUGGCGAGCUUAAACCGUUAGGUGUAGGCGUAGUGAAAUCGAAAAAUAAAAAACCAGUCAUCUGUGCAAAACCCGAAACUGAGUGAUCUAACCAUGAACAGGCUGAAGUUUUGAUGGCAACAUCUUUCUAAGGGCCGAACCCGUGUAUGUGGCAAAAUACUGGGAUGAUUUGUGGUUAGGGGUGAAAGGCCAAUCAAACUCAGAGAUAGCUGGUUUUCUGCGAAAUCUAUUUAAGUAGAGUGUUUAUUGUGAUACCUGAGGUAGAGCUCUCUUUUAGUGCGGGGUUGUCUAUCUUCUACCAAACUUUUGGAAACUUCGAAUUCGGGAUUAUUAAAUUUAAACAAACAGACUAGAGGUGCUAAGAUCUUUAGUCGAGAGGGAAACAGCCCAGAUUGACCGUUAAGGACCUUAAAAAUACAGAAGUUAAAGGAAGUUAAAAACUUUUAACAGCCAGGAGGUAGGCUUAGAAGCAGCCACCCUAUGAUGAAAGCGUAGCAGCUCACUGGUCUAGGUUUUUUGCACCGAAAAUUUAAUGGGAUUAAAAGUAUUUUCCGAAGCGGCAAAAUCCAAUUUUUGGAUUGGUAGCAGAAUGUUCUGUAAAUUUUUAAAGCUAAGCUGUCAGGUUUAGUGGAGAUAUCAGAAGUAAGAAUGCUGACAUAAGUAACGAUAAAGAGUGUUUAAAACACUCUCGCUGUAAACCCAAGGUUUUCGAUGUCAAGUUAAGCUGCGUCGAAGAGAAAUUCAAAAAUAAAAACGGCCCCUAAGAAUAUAGUGAAAACUCAUUUUGAUGGGAAACAAUAUACUGUUUUGAAAGUUGUGACAAAAGGCUUGAAUUUUGUGUUAAAAAGAUCAUUUUGAUGCAAAUUAAUCUUUUCAAGAAAUAGCACUUUCUUUAUUACCGUACCGUAAACUGACACAAGUGGGUGGGUUGAGAAAACUAAAGCGCUUGAGAGAACUGUGUAAAAGGAACUCGGCAAAAUGGCUCCGUAACUUAGGAAGAAGGAGUGACUUUUAAUUCAAUAUUUGCAAUAUGCAAUAAAUGUUCUAAAAGUUGUCACAAAAUUGGAAGAAGCAACUGUUUAACAAAAACACAGGUCUCUGCUAAUUCGCAAGAAGAUGUAUAGGGGCUGACGCGUGCCCGGUGCUGCAAGGUUAAGGGGAGGCGUCUUGGCGCUGAACUCAAGCCCCAGUAAACGGCGGCCGUAACUCUGACGGUCCAAAGGUAGCGAAAUUCUUUGCCACCUAAUUAGUGGCCUGCAUGAAUCGCGUAAUGACUUCUUUACUGUCUCUUACACAGACUCAGUGAAAUUGAAAUAUCCGUGAAGAUGCGGAUUACUCACAGCUAGACGGAAAGACCCUGUACACCUUUACUGCAUUUAUUGAUUGCAAAAAUGUAUUUGUUGUGUAGAAUAGGUGGGAGCACGAUACCUUUUUGGUACUGUGCGCCAGUGAAAUACCACCCUGCAUUUAUGUUGAUGCUAACUUAUUUCUAUAAGAACAGUUUAUAAUUGGUAGUUUGACUGGGGCGGUCGCCUUCUAAAAGGUAACGAAGGCGUGCAUAAGGUAAACUCAAAUAAAUAAAUCUUUUAUUGAAGAGUGCAAUAGCAAAAGUUUGCUUGACUGUAAGAAUAACGAUUCGAACAGGGGCGUAAGCCGGCUAUAGUGAUCCGGUGAUACUGAAUGGAAAGGUCAUCGCUCAACGGAUAAAAGGUACGUCAGGGAUAACAGGCUAAUGACUCCUUAGAGUUCCUAUCGACGGAGUUGUUUGGCACCUCGAUGUCGGCUAGUCACAUCCUGGAGCUGAAGCAGGUUCCAAGGGUUAGGUUGUUCGCCUAUUAAAGUGGCACUUGAGCUGGGUUCAGAACGCCGUGAGGCAGUUUGGUCCCUAUCUACUGUGAGCGUUAGAAAAUUGAAGAAAUUAAACCCUAGUACGAGAGGACCGGGAAACGUAAACCUCUGGUGUAGCGAUUGUUUUUAAAAAAGCAUCGUCGCGUAGCUACGUUUAUACUAGAUAAUCGCUGAAAGCAUCUAAGUGAGAAACUAUUUCUAAGAUUAAUUUUCUUUUUAGGGCUGUGGCAUAACACCACGUUGAUAGGUGCGGAGUUUAACGAUUGUAAGAUUCUAGCUACUGCAUACUAAAAGCCUGAAAUAAUCUUUUA
rnacentral:sRNA from 1 species